UACGGAGGGUGCGAGCGUUGUCCGGAAUCACUGGGCGUAAAGGGCGCGUAGGUGGCGUCGCAAGUCAACGGUGAAAGCUCGACGCUCAACGUCGAGUCGGCCGUCGAGACUGCGAGGCUUGAGCACUGUAGAGGCAGAUGGAAUUCCGGGUGUAGCGGUGGAAUGCGUAGAGAUCCGGAAGAACACCGGUGGCGAAGGCGGUCUGCUGGGCAGUAGCUGACACUGAGGCGCGACAGCGUGGGGAGCAAACAGG
rnacentral:rRNA from 1 species